CCUACGGGAUGCAGCAGUGAGGAAUAUUGGUCAAUGGGCGGAAGCCUGAACCAGCCAAGUAGCGUGCGGGAUGAAGGCCCUACGGGUCGUAAACCGCUAUUGCACGGGGAUAACACCCUCCACUUGUGGAGGUCUGAAGGUACCGUGCGGAUAAGGGCCGGCUCAUUCCGUGCCAGCCGCCGCGGUAAUACGGGAGGCUCGAGCGUUAUCCGGAUUCAUUGGGCUUAAAGGGAGCGUAGGCGGGCGUUCAAGUCAGCUGUAAAAUCGCGCGGCUAAACCGCGCCCCGCAGUUGAAACUGGACGCCUUGAGUUCACAACAGGCAGGCGGAAUUCGGGGUGUAGCGGUGAAAUG
rnacentral:rRNA from 1 species